GUGUGAGAGCCCCAGUGUGUGUACUGUAGGUGUACUGUAUGUGUGAGAGCCCCAGUGUGUGUACUGUAGGUGUACUGUAUGUGUGAGAGCCCCAGUGUGUGUACUGUAGGUGUACUGUAUGUGUGAGAGCCCCAGUGUGUGUACUGUAUGUGUGAGAGCCCCAGUGUGUGUACUGUAGGUGUGAGAGCCCCAGUGUGUGUACUGUAGGUGUGAGAGCCCCAGUGUGUGUACUGUAGGUGUACUGUAUGUGUGAGAGCCCCAGUGUGUGUACUGUAGGUGUACUGUAUGUGUGAGAGCCCCAGUGUGUGUACUGUAUGUGUGAGAGCCCCAGUGUGUGUACUGUAGGUGUGAGAGCCCCAGUGUGUGUACUGUAUGUGUGAGAGCCCCAGUGUGUGUACUGUAGGUGUGAGAGCCCCAGUGUGUGUACUGUAUGUGUGAGAGCCCCAGUGUGUGUACUGUAGGUGUGAGAGCCCCAGUGUGUGUACUGUAGGUGUACUGUAUGUGUGAGAGCCCCAGUGUGUGUACUGUAGGUGUACUGUAUGUGUGAGAGCCCCAGUGUGUGUACUGUAGGUGUGCUUUUGGAUCCCCUUUUUCCAUUACUUGAAAUCUACUUGGGCAAUAACAUGUUUUCUCUGCAUUGUUGCCUUUUCCUCUCUUUCUUCUCCUGCUUUCUGAGGUACUGUGCUUUAAUCGUACAAAACCUUACAAGACAGAAGCUUUAGCUAGAGUCGUGUCUUCCUUAUGCAGCUGGGCCUUUAUAUUCAGAUUCUGCUUUCCCUAGAAUGUCUUUGUUUAUCACUUUCCACAUUUCUUCCCGUUUUGUCUCAUCUCUCCUGAAAGGGCCUUAGUACUCCUUAAGCUGCUCAUCCAAGUUUCACUUUGUUUAUGUAUUAAUGUAUUUGUAUGUAAGUAUGUAUGGUUUACAUUGGAAGUUACAAGUCAUAUCACCUUCUGGAAAAAGGCUUGAUAGAAAGCUGGAUAACAGCUAACUCUGGUUCAGGCUGUUUGUGUGGCCUGUUAACACUGAGCCAGUGUUACCAAGCAGCACUAAUGCCCUGGACAAGAGCAAGAUAACAGCUAGCUAAGUGGCAGUGCUUGUUUAAAUGCAGCUACAUUAUCAUUUGGUUUUCAGUAUUUUGACAUUUUGCACUAUCAAUUAUUUUGCUGUUGUAAUGUUUGGGGUUGUAUGCUAUUAUGUCCAGUAAAUCAAUCGCUUGUUUUUUGUGUGAAUUAUAAUGACCUGUUCUGACCAAUUCAUUCAUGUUAUUUAUUGAGUGUCUUUUCGCCUGCCUUAAAAUGAAAGCCAAUCCUGUUACAGCGAUAAUGUAGUUUGUGUGAGAUGUGUGAGCUUCCAUCUUUAAUCAUCAAAAUGCCUCAGAUGCCCAUGUAGUAUUAAGCCAUGUUUCUGUUUUUCAUUGUAUAGAAGAGAUCCAAAACCAAUGGUCACUGUUGCUUGAAUAAAGGUGUCUACUCCAAUCUGGAAAGCAAAGGAGAUAAUGUCUUAAAUAUAUAUUUUUCUUUUAAUUGGCUUCUAGCAAAGCUCAAUGUACUAAGAGCAGAAAGGGAAGGCUUAUAAACGGUCUGUUCUUUGAAGUAAAACUCUGCAUACUUGUAGUCAAAUGUACAUAACUGAAGUCUAUCAGAGUGCAGGCUCUCAUAGACUGUCUUAAAAAGCUUAUAUGACUAGGAGUGUUACUGCUUCUCUUAAUGUAUGUUGAGCUUAAACAUCAGGAAUUCACUGCACUGGAAAUGGUGGACAAUACAGUCUCUACUAAGGGGCUGAUGAGGGCAUUGAACCUAAGGGAAGUUUUCUCCUGGACAUGUUUGUCCUGUUCAGAUGCACCGCCAAAUAGGGAUAUCUUUCUUUCCACAUACUUUCUCCAACCUUCACACCAUGAACACUUGGUUUCUGGAUUAAUGAAUACACCCUGCUUUUCAAUACUGGGUUUUUAUUGUGGAUUUUACUCUGCCUUUGUUACAUUUUGUUAUUUUGUGUCACUUAUUUAUUUGAUUUAUGUUGUGCACCAAGCAGCACUUAGGACUUAAGCACUGUUUCAGGUUUCCCUACUGUUCUAUCUUUCUGUUUCAGGUUUCCCUACUGUUCUAUCUUCCUGUUUCAGGUUUCCCUACUGUUCUAUCUUUCUGUUUCAGGUUUCCCUACUGUUCCAUCUUCCUGUUUCAGGUUUCCCUACUGUUCUAUCUUUCUGUUUCAGGUUUCCCUACUGUUCUAUCUUUCUGUUUCAGGUUUCCCUACUGUUCUAUCUUUCUGUUUCAGGUUUCCCUACUGUUCUAUCUUUCUGUUUCAGGUUUCCCUACUAUUCUAUCUUUCUGUUUCAGGUUUCCCUACUGUUCUAUCUUUCUGUUUCAGGUUUCCCUACUGUUCUAUCUUUCUGUUUCAGGUUUCCCUACUGUUCUAUCUUUCUGUUUCAGGUUUCCCUACUGUUCUAUCUUUCUGUUUCAGGUUUCCCUACUGUUCUAUCUUCCUGUUUGUAUAUGUAUCACAGCCAACCUCUUACAGAGACUUGUUUCAGUACCUGACCCCUCCUUCCUCCUGCUUUUCUUUGUCUUUCUUUGUCUUUUUUUACCAAUAAAACAAACAACUUAAUACAG